rnacentral:rRNA from 1 species
UACGUAAGAGACUAGUGUUAAUCAUCAUAAAUAGGUUUAAAGGGUACUCAGACGGAAAAAUUCGCCCAAAUAUAGGGGACAAUUUUUCUAGAGUUUUAUGUAAGAAGGUCGUACUCUAGAGUGGAGAGAUAAAAUUCUGUGAUACCUAGGGGACGGGUAAAGGCGAAGGCAAUCUUUUAUGUAAAAACUGACGUCGAAGGACGAAGGCAAAGGGAACAAAAAGG